GUGGAUUAGAUACCCUGGUAGUCCACGCCCUAAACGAUGUCAACUAGUUGUUGGGCUUUUCGGAGCUUAGUAACGCAGCUAACGCGUGAAGUUGACCGCCUGGGGAGUACGGUCGCAAGACUAAAACUCAAAGGAAUUGACGGGGGCCCGCACAAGCGGUGGAUGAUGUGGAUUAAUUCGAUGCAACGCGAAAAACCUUACCUGGUCUUGACAUGUACGGAAUCCUUUAGAGAUAGAGGAGUGCCUUCGGGAACCGUAACACAGGUGCUGCACGGCCGUCGCCAGCU
rnacentral:rRNA from 1 species